CCAACAUUAUGUUGACCCUGGGACAACAUUUCAAUCGAGCGCGCUGAAUACCUGCUGGGAACACAGCCGUGGGAACAAAGCGCUUGUGCGUAUUACGUCAUUUUGUCACAUACCUAUUAUAUGUUUGCUGUUCUUCAUCUUUUUAAAUAUGAAGUCUAUCCAUGUUUGUGUUUACAGAGGUCAUGUACACUGUGGUCAACUUUGUGGACGCUGAAGAGGUUUCUGGGUAAAGAUGAUAGAAAUAUAAUGAAGUAACAGUGGAAGCUAAAACAUCAGACUGAUCCAGUCACUGAAGAAAUUGAUGUCACUGCAAUCUGGACAAAAUGAUACAACUAUAAAGAAGUAGCCUACUGUAAUGAAGCUGCAGAACAACACAGAGACUCUGAGGACAUCAACACAGAAAAUGAAGUAAGAAGAUGUGCAUUAUGAAGUUCUUUGAUCAUAUAUUGUUGUAUCUUUGUACAGUUUAAUGUAAACUUUCCAAAAUGUACAACUUUAUGUCAUUUGAUUUGUUGUGUGUGUGUGUGUGUGUGUGUGUGUGU